rnacentral:tRNA from 1 species
GCCUGGGUGGCUCAGUUGGUUAAGCAUCCAACUUUUGAUUUCUACUUGGGUCGUAAUCUCGCGGUUUGUGGGUUCGAGCCCCACACCAGGCC